GGGGCCUGUGGCUCAGUGGUAGAGAAUCUGCUUGCCAUUCAGAAGGUCCCAAGUUCAAUCCCUGGCAUCUCCA
rnacentral:tRNA from 1 species